rnacentral:rRNA from 1 species
UAGUCCACGCCCUAAACGAUGCGAACUGGACGUUGGGUGCAAUUGAGCAUUCAGUGUCGAAGCUAACGCGUUAAGUUCGCCGCCUGGGGAGUACGGUCGCAAGACUGAAACUCAAAGGAAUUGACGGGGGCCCGCACAAGCGGUGGAGUAUGUGGUUUAAUUCGAUGAUACGCGAGGAACCUUACCUAGGCUCGAACGCUACUUGACCGCACCUGAAAGGGUGUUUUUCUUCGGAACGGGUAGUGAGGUGCUGCAUGGUUGUCGUCAGCUCGUGCCGUGAGGUGUUGGGUUAAGUCCCGCAACGAGCGCAACCCCUAUUUUCAGUUGCCAGCAAUUCGGUUGGGGACUCUGGAAAGACUGCCCGUGUAAGCGUGGAGGAAGGUGGGGACGACGUCAAAUCAUCAUGGCCUUUAUGCCUAGGGGCUACACACGUGCUACAAUGGUAGAUACAAAGGGGUUGCCAAGCCGCGAGGGUGGAGCUAAUCCCAUAAAGUCUAUCCCAGUUCGGGAUUGGGAGUCUGCAA